rnacentral:antisense_RNA from 1 species
GUUAUGAUGAUUGAAUGAGUUAUCACCUAUAAAGCAUCCCUAGAACAAAAUAAGUAUGUUUCAAAUAAAUACAAAUAAAAAUUCCAAUCAUCACUGUA